rnacentral:rRNA from 1 species
GCGCAGCAGGCGCGAAAACUCCGCAAUGCUCGAAAGAGUGACGGGGGAUUCCAAGUGCCUACGCUUAGCGUAGGCUGUUCAGAUGCCUAAAAGCAUCUGGAGUAAGGGCUGGGUAAGACGGGUGCCAUCUGCAGUGGUAAUGAAAAACUUGCUACUGCAAGGCAUAAGCCGCCGCGGUAAUACCCGCAGCCCGAGUGGUAGUCGCUUUUAUUGGGCCUAAAGCGUCCGUAGCCGGUCUGGUAAAUGGCCUGGGGUAAAUCGUGGGGGCCUAACCUCACGAAUUCCGGGUAGACUGCCAGACUUGGGACCGGUUGAGGGAGAGGGUACUCCGAGGGGUAGGGGUGAAAUCCCUGGUAAUCCUUGGGAGGACCACCGGUGGCGAAAGCGCUCUCCUAGGACGGGUCCGACGGUGAGGGACGAAAGCCAGGGGAGCAAACCGGAUUAGAUACCCGUGUAGU